UCAAACAAUGAAUUCAUAUGAAAGUUCAGUAUUGGGAAACACCUUUCUUAACAUGUAAUUAAAAGUGGAUCAAACAAUGAAUUCAAUUAAAGCUGUAACGAUUGAAGAGCCAUAACCACUACAUAUCUCGAGUUGUACUGCAACUAGCCAACUACUGAACUUCUAUAGGUUGGCUUAACAGUAUCACAACUGAACUAAAUUCGAACAGUUCAGUAUGAAGAAAAAAUGUCCGAAACAGGUAGGUCAACUUCUAAAUCGAAUUAUCAUACUCCGUUCAUCAACCAAGAAUACAGUAACUGAUAGCUCUCCUGCUGUAAACACCAACUAAUGACUACUGAUGCGCAAACUUCCUGGAGAAAACUUUGCAACAAAAAAUCUCAGGAAACGAGCAAUCAGAGAAUCACGAGCCUCAGAUUCAUUGAA
rnacentral:lncRNA from 1 species